AGGCGGCGCGGAAAAGUAAAGUGACAACCGAGUCCCGCGAGCGGGCAGGGCCGGGGGCGGGCGAGGGGCGUCCCACGGAGAAGGAGCGGUCGGGACCGGGAGAGGGGAGGGAAACGGAGGCUGCCGGGCCGGCUGGAGGGAGGGGACGCGGGGACCUUGACGGGCACGCGCGUUAAAGGGAAACGCUGGCUGGGGGUGGGAGUUGCCCGAAGACUGAGCGGGGGCGGCGUUUCACCCCCGGCCACUGCAGCCCUGGCUUCAUACUGGCCUCGAAGCUUUCUCCAAAUGGCUACAGGACUGACCCUAUUGACUCACGAAGCAAAACUCGGACGCGUGGUGUCCACAUGCACCCAGGAUGGGAAAACUUCGCGGUGGCCUGGAAAGUUCGCCCAGGCUACACUCCUCAUCCGACAUUGCAGCACGAAGGUCCUUCUGCCUUUGGGCGCGCCCAGGCCCAGAAUGUACCCCGCGAGCCAAGACUUAAGGUCAUUCAACCCUGGGAUACUGAGGAGAGAGUGGAGCUCCUAAACGUGACCCAGCAGGGGCGAACACAGCCCCACAGGAUCCAGAUCAGCUCAAGCAGCCUCAAGACCCCAGAGGACAGGAGCAAGUAGCUGCCACAUUGUGAGUGGCCCUAGAGAGAGGCCCACGUGGCUAGGAACUGAGGCCUCAUCCUGAAGUCCACCGACGAGUGAGCUCGGAGGCAGAUCCUUCUAACUUUAGCCGAGCCUUCAGAUGAUGCCACGCUGCUCGACAUCUGCAGUACAUGAAAAACCCUGAACCAGAAACACCCAGUGAAACCACUUUUGAUCCUUGAGAUAAUCAAUGUUUUUCAGCCACUAAUUUUUGAGGGUAAUUUGUUGUGCAGCAAUAGGUAGUGAACACACAUGCUCCCUGCUCUCUAAUGAUGACGUUCCCUCCUCGAGUCCUCCGUGUACCAAGAAUGCUACAACUGCAGUAGUUCCUGCCUGCGAGGAGUCUCCCUCACUCCUGAAAUGAGCUGUUGCAUCUGACAUCCCAGACACACGGAGGGGCUUAAGUAGGUGCUGAGAUAUGGAUAAAGAGUCUCAAGAGAGAGCAUAGGCCAGGAAUGGAAAAAAAAGAAAAGCAGUUCAGAGUGGCUUUCUUUCAACCUCACAAGAGUAAGAAAGGAAGACUCAGCUCAGCUCGGAGAAAGACUGUCAGAACAAAGGAGCGAAUGGUGACACCUAAGAGUCAGAGAUGUGCUAAGCAAUGAGAUUAUAGACACGAUUUCUUUGUUGUGGUUAUCAUAUUGUUAUGGGUGCAAUAAAUAAAGAUAUUUUAAACUUAAGGAAAGCUCAGAAGGAAACAAAGACAGAAGGAGGGAAACCCUUGCCUUGAUCUGCACCUUUCUUGCAGGACAGAGAUGUUUUGGAGCUGGGCUGUCUGGACUCACGAUCCUGGUUCUACUUCCUUACUGUGAUCAUGGGCAAGCUUCUUAACUUCUUACUGACUCAGAUUCCUUGUCUACCAAUGGGGCUGAUUUUAAUGACUAAUACUUACACAGUAUAAAGGACAAGAUUAAACAAGCUAGUAUACGUAAGCAAUUUAAAGAGAGGUUGAAACAAAACAGGUGUCAUAGGAGAGGGAGCCUUCCUAGUGGUUUGGUAGGUGGGAGGUCAUGUCACUCUGCAACCUGGGUGCUAUUAUCUUACUUGAGUUUGCUACUUUUUCUUGCAAAUAGCCUCCCAGGUAGUCACCGCCUCUUGCCUCUCUGCAUCCUUUACUAUUUAAAAGCCCCUCCUUUGCUGUGAGCUCUCCAAGGGCAGAGACCAUGCUUAAGUAUCUGUGUGUCUACACUUUAGGAUAAAGAGUAGGCAUCCCAUAGAGACAGUCACAUUAGUGAAUAUACCUGCUUUUCAACUGCCUUUCUUCAAAUUACGGAAUUUGGGGAGGUAGGUAUAAAUAUUCUGCUAUGACUUUCACUUCAACAACAAUUUCAGAGAACAUAUAAGCUCUUUACUAUU